ACUUGAACAUGGCGACUUCCGCCCUGAACGAACCUAGGAAAGCGGCUGGAAAAAGGGUAUUUUGUACACAGAAGCCAAAUCUGGAGAACCAAGAUGAAUCAGAACUCCUCACUGUUCCUGAUGGAUGGAAGGAACCAGCUUUUUCCAAAGAGGACAAUCCCAGAGGACUCUUGGAGGAGAGCAGUUUUGCAACUUUGUUCCCAAAGUAAGCAGAAAGCCUUGAAUGAACAUCACAUUAAUGCAACCCUGGACUUGAUUGAGGGCAACAUGACUGUUUGUACUACAGAGAAGACCUUUGAUCCAUAUAUCAUCAUUAGGGCCCGAGAUCUAAUAAAACUGUUAGCAAGGAGUGUUUCAUUUGAACAGGCAGUACGAAUUCUUCAGGAUGAUAUUGCAUGUGACAUUAUUAAAAUAGGUUCUUUAGUAAGAAAUAAAGAAAGAUUUGUUGAAAGAAGACAACGGCUUAUUGGUCCCAAAGGAUCUACCUUGAAGGCUUUGGAACUCUUAACAAACUGUUAUAUUAUGGUUCAGGGAAAUACAGUUUCAGCCAUUGGACCCUUUAGUGGUUUAAAAGAGGUGCGAAAAGUAGUCCUAGAUACUAUGAAGAAUAUUCAUGCAAUUUAUAACAUCAAAACCUUAAUGAUUAAAAGAGAAUUGGCAAAAGAUUCUGAAUUACGAUCACAAAGUUGGGAAAGAUUUUUGCCACAGUUCAAACACAAAAAUGUGAAUAAAUGCAGGAACCAAAGAAGAAAUGUGUUAAGAAAGAAUAUAUACCAUUCCCACCGCCCCAGCCAGAAAGUCAGAUUGAUAAAGAAUUGGCUAGUGGUGAAUACUUCUUGAAGGCGCAUCAGAAGAAGCGACAGAAAAUGGAAGCAAUAAAGGCUAAACAAGCAGAAGCUCUCAGUAAGAGACAAGAGGAAAGAAACAAAGCUUUUAUUCCACCUAGAGAAAAACCAGUUGUGAAACCGAAGGAAGCUUCUACUGAAACUAAAAUUGAUGUGGCCACCAUUAAGGAAGAGGUUAAGAAAGCAAAGAACAAGAAACUGGGAGCCCUUACAGCUGAAGAAGUUAAGCUUAAGAUGGAAGCAGAUGAGAAGAAGAAGAAAAAGUAACACACAGAACCCUUCACUACAACUUAAGACGCUACCUCCUUUUGUAAAGGAUUUUGAGAUACUAGGGCAUUAGUUGCCUAUCUGGGAGAAAGAAGAAUCUGAACACUUUUUUUCU